CAAGUCGAAUCGUAGUCGUGGUCAGCUGUUAACUUAGGCGCUCGGUAAUGGGACGCAUGCGCAUUCUUCCUUGUUGUGAGUUAUAUUCCAGAAGGAUGUGGAUUAAUACCUCAUAGUAGUAUGAGUGGGCAUUCCUUUAUAAUUAAAGUCACAACGGUAAAAGAUGAGCAUGCGUCCCAUUAGUUAGUUGGUAAGGUAACGGCUUACCAAGACAACGAUGGGUAGGGGUCCUGAGAGGGAGAUCCCCCACACUGGUACUGAGACACGGACCAGACUCCUACGGGAGGCAGCAGUGAGGAAUAUUGGACAAUGGGCGCAAGCCUGAACCAGCCAUGCCGCGUGCAGGAUGACGGUCCUAUGGAUUGUAAACUGCUUUUGUACGAGAAGAAACACUGAUUCGUGAAUCAGCUUGACGGUAUCGUAAGAAUAAGGAUCGGCUAACUCCGUGCCAGCAGCCGCGGUAAUACGGAGGAUCCAAGCGUUAUCCGGAAUCAUUGGGUUUAAAGGGUCCGUAGGCGGUCUUGUAAGUCAGUGGUGAAAGCCCAUCGCUCAACGAUGGAACGGCCAUUGAUACUGCAGGACUUGAAUUAUUGGGAAGUAACUAGAAUAUGUAGUGUAGCGGUGAAAUGCUUAGAGAUUACAUGGAAUACCAAUUGCGAAGGCAGGUUACUACCAAUUGAUUGACGCUGAUGGACGAAAGCGUGGGUAGCGAACAGGAUUAGAUACCCUGGUAGUCCACGCCGUAAACGAUGGAUACUAGCUGUUGGGCGCAAGUUCAGUGACUAAGCGAAAGUGAUAAGUAUCCCACCUGGGGAGUACGUUCGCAAGAAUGAAACUCAAAGGAAUUGACGGGGGCCCGCACAAGCGGUGGAGCAUGUGGUUUAAUUCGAUGAUACGCGAGGAACCUUACCAAGGCUUAAAUGUAGAUUGACCGAUUUGGAAACAGAUCUUUCGCAAGAACAAUUUACAAGGUGCUGCAUGGUUGUCGUCAGCUCGUGCCGUGAGGUGUCAGGUUAAGUCCUAUAACGAGCGCAACCCCUGUUGUUAGUUGCCAGCGA
rnacentral:rRNA from 1 species